GUUUUAGUAGUAUAAAAAUUACACUACCUUUUCGAGGUAGAGAAGGAGGAAAACUCUCUAAAAUA
rnacentral:tRNA from 1 species